rnacentral:rRNA from 2 species
AGCAUCCGUAGCCGGCUGCUCAAGUUUCCGGUUAAAUCCACACGCUUAACGUAUGGGCUGCCGGAAAUACUGUUCAGCUAGGGAGUGGGAGAGGUAGACGGUACUCGAUAGGAAGGGGUAGAAUCCUUUGAUCUAUUGAUGACCACCUGUGGCGAAGGCGGUGUACCAGAACACGUUCGACGGUGAGGGAUGAAAGCUGGGGGAGCAAACCGGAUUAGAUACCCGGGUAGUCCCAGCUGUAAACGAUGCAGACUCGGUGAUGCAUUGGCUUGUGGCCAAUGCAGUGCCGCAGGGAAGCCGUUAAGUCUGCCGCCUGGGAAGUACGUACGCAAGUAUGAAACUUAAAGGAAUUGGCGGGGGAGCACAAGCCGAA